UUUUUUGAGAGUUUGAUCCUGGCUCAGGAUGAACGCUGGCGGCGUGCCUUAAGCAUGCAAGUCGAAUGGUCGCAAGACAAUGGCAGACGGGUGAGUAAUGUAUAGGAAUCUACCCUUCAAUGGACCAUAGCCUAUCGAAAGAUGGGGUAAUAGUCCAUAGCCCCAAGGUUUCACCUUGGGAAAUUCGAAAUCCGAAAAUCCAAAUCCGAAACAAAUUAUAAUUUUAAAAAUCCAAAUGACCAAAAGUUUUUUGAUUUUUAUUAUUUAGAUUUUUUGAAAAUUGUUUCGAGUUUCGAUAUUUGAUAUUCGAAUUUUCUAGAGUGAAGCUUUGGGUAAAGAUCUUAACUGAUCGUUGAAGGAGGAGCCUAUAUCCUAUCAGCUAGUUGGCGGGGUAAAAGCCCACCAAGGCGAUGACGGGUAGCUGGACUGAGAGGUCGGUCAGCCACAACUGCACUGAGACACGGGCAGUACACCUACGGGUGGCAGCAACUAGGAAUAUUGCGCAAUGGACGAAAGUCUGACGCAGCGACGCCGCGUGGAGGAUGAAGGCCUUAGGGUUGUAAACUCCUUUUGAGUCGCCAUUCACGGCGACUAGAAUAAGCCCUUACUAACUACGUGGCCCGUAAAAAACGGGUUUGGCGCGUAGUAUAAAUUUCACUAUAUGCUGGGAACUUUUGUAAAAGCUUACCUACCGAAAGGUAAAAAUGGUAAGCCAAACCCUAAAAAACUAGCGAUUGGUAUGGGGGUUGCGAAACAAUCAGCAGGCAACCUCGAUUUUUCGAGGAAGUCCUCAGAGACUAUACGUGGAACAGGUUUAAAACCUGAAGAUAUAGUCCAAUGUUCGGAACGUAUAAUUUUUGUACGGGCCGGGCCAGCAGUCGCGGUAAUACGUAGGGGGCAAGCGUUAUCCGGAUUUAUUGGGCGUAAAGUGUGCGUAGGCUCCUUAAAAAGUCGCGUCUCAAAUGCUCAGGCUUAACCUGAGAAGCGGAUGCGAUACUAUUAGGGUUGAGGAUUGACAGGGAUGCUGGAACAGCUAGAGUAGCAGUGAAAUGCGUUGAUAUUAGCUGGAACACCAAAGGCGAAGGCAAGCAUCUAGGUUUUUCCCUGACGCUGAGGCACGAAAGCUAAGGUAGCGAAACAGAUUAGAUACCUGUGUAGUCUUAGCUGUAAACAAUGUUCGCUAGCUCUUCCCCUCUUUUCUUUGUUUGCAAAUUUUUAAUGUUUAAAGAUUUGCCGGAAAAGAGGGGAGGGGCGUAAGUUAACACGUUAAGCGAACCGCCUGGGGAGUACGGCCGCAAGGCUAAAACUCAAAGGAAUUGACGGGGACCCGCACAAUCUGUGGAGCGUGUGGUUCAAUUCGAGACAAAACGAAAAACCUCACCAGGGUUUGACAUAUUACCGUUUAUUUCUCUGGAAACAGAGAGAAAUCCGCAAGGAUGGUAUUACAGGUGCUGCAUGGCUGUCGUCAGCUCGUGCCGUGAGGUGUUCCCUUAAGUGGGGAAACGAGCGCAACCCCCAUUCAAUGUUAAAUAUUCAUUGGAGACAGCCCCCUCUUUCUGGGCUUUAUCUAAAAAUUUUAUGUAGAGCGUUGAUUGUUGAAAUCAAUAAACGUGAAAUUAAGAUAGAACUUAGAAAGAGGGGGAGGAAGGAGGGGAAGACGUCAAGUCAGCACGGCCCUUAUACCCUGGGCUACACACACACUACAAUGGCGAAAAACAAUGAGUUGCAAGCCGGUAACGGCAAGCUAAUCUCUGAAAUUUCGUCUCAGUUCAGAUUGGGGGCUGAAACCCGCCCCCAUGAAGUUGGAAUAGAUAGUAAUCGCGAAUCAGCAUGUCGCGGUGAAUACGUUCUCGGGUCUUGUACA
rnacentral:rRNA from 1 species